rnacentral:rRNA from 1 species
UGGCUUCGGCUGGGCGAGUAAAGUGGCGAACGGGUGAGUAACACGUGGGCAAUCUGCCCUUAAGUGCGGGAUAAGCCUUCGAAAGGAGGCCUAAUACCGUAUAAUGUCUUUAAACGGCAUCGUUUUUUGAUCAAAGACGGGGUAACCUGUCGCUUAAGGAUGAGCCCGCGCUCCAUUAGCUUGUUGGCAGGGUAAUGGCCUACCAAGGCUCUGAUGGAUAGCCGGCCUGAGAGGGUGAACGGCCACACUGGGACUGAGAUACGGCCCAGACUCCUACGGGAGGCAGCAGUAGGGAAUAUUGCGCAAUGGACGAAAGUCUGACGCAGCAACGCCGCGUGGAUGAUGAAGCAUUUCGGUGCGUAAAAUCCUGUCAGUGGGGACGAAACGGUUGGGUAGUAACUGCCCCGGCCCUGACGGUACCCACAGAGGAAGUUCCGGCUAACUCCGUGCCAGCAGCCGCGGUAAUACGGGGGGAACGAGCGUUGUUCGGAUUUACUGGGCGUAAAGGGCGUGCAGGCGGAUUAGCAAGUCAGAGGUGAAAACCGUAGGCUUAACCUACGGCCUGCCCUUGAAACUGCCAAUCUUGAGUACGGGAGAGGAAAGCGGAAUUCCAGGUGUAGCGGUGACAUGCCUAGAUAUCUGGAAGAACAUCGGUGGCGAAGGCGGCUUUCUGGACCGAUACUGACGCUGAGGCGCGAAAGCCAGGGGAGCAAACAGGAUUAGAUACCCUGGUAGUCCUGGCUGUAAACGAUG